rnacentral:ncRNA from 1 species
CACAGGUUUGGUCCUAGCCCUUUCAUUUAUUAGCAGUAAACUUACACAUGCAAGUAUCAGCGCCCCAGUGAAAAUGCCCUCCAAGUUCUACUUAACGAAACAGAGGAGCAGGUAUCAAGCACACAACGUUACGUAGCUAACAACGCCUUGCUCAGCCACACCCCCACGGGACACAGCAGUGAUUAAAAUUAAGUUAUAAACAAAAGUUUGACUAAGCUAUACUGCAUAAGGGCCGGUAAAUUUCGUGCCAGCCACCGCGGUCAUACGAUUGGCCCAGAUAAAUGAACAAACGGCGUAAAGCGUGUUUAAGAUACAACCCUAAUAAAGUUAAACUGUAACUAAUCUGUAAAAAGUCCUAGUUACCAUAAACCCCUAAACGAAAGUAACUUUACUCAUCUGACUACACGACAACUAAGACCCAAACUGGGAUUAGAUACCCCACUAUGCUUAGUCUUAAACCAAAAAAAUUACCAUAACAAAAUUAUUCGCCAGAGAACUACUAGCCAAAGCUAAAAACUCAAAGGACUUGGCGGUGCUUUAUAUCCCCCUAGAGGAGCCUGUUCUAUAAUUGAUAAACCCCAAUAAACCUCACCAACCCUUGCUAAUCCAGCCUAUAUACCGCCAUCUUCAGCAAACCCUAAAAAGGCUUUAUAGUAAGCACAAUCAUAUGACAUAAAAACGUUAGGUCAAGGUGUAGCCCAUGGGUUGGGAAGAAAUGGGCUACAUUACCUAAACUAGGUUACCCUAAACGAAAGUUUUCAUGAAAUGAAAAACUAAAGGUGGAUUUAGUAGUAAAUUAAGAAUAGAGCGCUUAAUUGAAUGGGGCCAUAAAGCACGCACACACCGCCCGUCACCCUCCUCAAAUAAGACAAAUAACCCAAUCAACCCCACUACAACUACAUUUAAACUAUUAGAGGAGAUAAGUCGUAACAAGGUAAGUGUACUGGAAAGUGCGCUUGGAAAACU